rnacentral:tRNA from 1 species
GUCCAUGUAGUAUAUACAUUACACUGGUCUUGUAAGCCAGAAAAGGGGAUAAUUUCCCCCAUAGACU